GAGGAGGUGAGAACCACUAAGAUGCUUCAUGAUACUGCAAGUGCUUUGGUGAUACUGGAUCAGUGCAGCUGGAGACAGCACAGACCUCACCUUCAUCCUCCCACCAGGGAAGGAUACGUUCUUGGCACAAGGAGGCUGGCAGGACUUUCAGAAGUUACUCAGGUUCCACGUGCUUUGCAAUCGGGACAUUGUCAAAUGAGCAGGAAUUGGCGAUCCUAUAAAUAAUCUGCAAGAAGGGGAGCAGGUGCCAGGGGGCGCAGGAGAGCUGCCGGUAGGACAUCCAUCCUCGGCCGGGAGGUGCUGCCGGGGGUAGGAAAAGUCCUUAAGUCUACGGAAUGUACAACUAAACGCAUUUAAAGCAGCUCCCUGGACACGUCUACUGCCAUGAGAUGUCUCAGCCAAGGAUUUUGAGCCAAGAUAUGAGGGAAAUGGUUUAACCAGCUGUGUGCCCAUGCCUGUGACACUGAACUUUGAGAUGCUGAUAUUUAAAAAGAUUGCCAUCUCCCCUGCCUCCCAGCAGCAAGGGAAGACUGAAGCCACUGAGCAUGGAAUCCAGCCCACCUUCUACCUCCCACCUCCCCGAGUGCAGCCAAAACAUCUACAGACUGAUCUACAGCUGCUCACAAGCACUGGAACUUCCACUUGUCUACGUUUUCAGGACACGAGCCACGCCAGGAA